rnacentral:lncRNA from 1 species
UUCUUUGAUGCAUUUCACGCAUUAAAUGAUGAAAGAGAAGGUGUGAAGGUUAUAUUAUUUUAUUAGUAUUGUGUGCAUGGAAAUUUGAAGGAGAAAGAUGAAAGAGGAGCAUUUUCACGUUACUUUGUGUGUGCUGCAGCAUGUGCCGUUACCAUUGGGUGUCUUUAUUUUGUUUUGUAUUUCUUUGCAUGGUCGGAAAGAGAAACUUUGUAGUGACACUUGGUCUCCUUGUAUGCGUGAACGUUGCAGCAAGGGGGGGCUGAUUGCAUUCUAAUAUUUUUUGCUCUCUUUUCACACGUUGCAUGGGUGCUUGGGUCAUUUCUUUUUCCACUUUACAUGGUUGGGCACUUGUUUUCUAAACUUAGGAAACUUGUAAGGGACCUUGGAGUUCUUUCAGGAGGUUAAUCACUGCAUUAAAAAUUGUAGGCUACAUAAAUGAGUAUUAUGGAGGCAGUUAAACACACUUUAAACUUACCAUUUACACACAUUAAAGAGAGGUUUUAUGGGUGUUAAUGUGGAGUUAGGAAUGGGAAAAAUCUAAAAUGGGCUAAGGAUGCCCUUGGGAGUGACCUUGGGUAGGUGGUUAAGGGUUAGAAAGGUUUAGGGGUGGUUCUACUUAAGUGUGUAAUUUUAAGAUAAUUAGGGGUAUUACAAAAAUUGUGAGAGUGGAAAAGAGAGUGAGUGAGCCGUAAAUUGAGUAGAGAGAAACAAUUCCUAGGGAGAAACAACCAAGUUGGUUAGAGAAAGAAUGUACUCAAGCUAGUUUUUGGAGUUGAAUGAAACUUGAAGGGAACCUAGAAGAGUGAAGGGCUUGGAGUCUAAAGAAGGAAAGAAACCUAAGAACCUUGAAGGCUAGCUUGGAAUAGAUGUAAAGGGUUUAACUUUGGAUGUAAUAUGGUGUAUGAUGGGUAGAAGGUUAACAAUAACAUGAUGUUGCAUGUAUGCUCCUUGUUGUCUCAAGUUUCAUGUAUAAAUUGUAUGGAGGGAGGGUAUUUUUGUUUUUAUUGUUGGAAAGGGGUAUACUUUGAUUAUACAUGUUGUUUUUGAAAAAGUGUUGUGUUGGAAUGGGUAUUUAUAUGGUCAUUUUCGUUUUGCUAUUAUAGAGGGUAUAUGAUGGACUAUACAUGUUUAUAUUUUAUGGUGAGGGGAGCAUGGUGUUUGACGUAAAAUAGGAAUGAAGGAGUGUGGGAGUGAGUCUCUCUUGCAACUUAAAUGUAUGGAGAAAGUGAAGUAAAAAGAAAAUGAAAGCUUGCAUGCAUAAGGUGGGGUCGUGGGUUUAAAUGAAGGAGAGAGAAGAAAGAGAAAAAAAUUUGCAUUGUGUGAAGUGGUGGAGAGUUACGUAAAUAGCUAUGUGCAGGGAAGAGAAAUUCUUUAUAAGAAAUGUAGUGGAGAAAAGGGGUGGGGCCAUGGUUUUUGAAAGGGGUAGCGAUAUUUUAACAACGCAAAUUUGACAACGCUUUUGACAACACCACAUGUCAGCGUUGUAUUGGCUGAUUUAAUUUUUUUUUCAAAAAAAAAAUGAUUUCGAAAAGGAUUCAGACUUGGACAUUUCAAUAUUCCGAAACUACCCUCCUUCUUUUCAGUACUGUCUCAUUCUCUGUCUCCUCUUAUUUUAGAUUUUCAGUUUCUCUCGUCAAGUCCUCUCACUCCAUUUUAGGUUUCCCUUUUCUGUUAUUGUUUUUUGGGGCUGGGUUUUUGGUUUUUGUCUUUGGUGGUCAUUUUGUUGGUAUUUGCAUUGUCGAAGAAAUAUUUUCCUAUUGAUAGACUACAAAGUAAGUUAUACUUUUACACUACAUAAUAAAUUUUUGUUGAGUAAUUUUAUACAUAACUAAAAGUUCUUAUAAGCUAGACUACAAAUUAUUUGCUUAGUU